rnacentral:lncRNA from 1 species
UUCUUUUGUUUUUUUUUAGGUAUUUAUUUUUCUGUUUUUUUCGAGACAGGGUUUCUCUGUGUAAUAGCCCUGUCUGUCCUAGAACUUGCUUUGUAGACCAGGUUGACCUCAAACUCACAAGAGCUUCACCUGCCUCUGCCUCCCGAGUGCUGGAAUUAAAGGCUUGUGCCACCACUGCCCAGCUAGAUGAGACAUUUUACAACAUAGUAUUUAUAUACUAUAGUUCUUUUUUUAGGUUUUUAUUUUUAUUUAUCUGUAUGCACACAUGUGCAGGUGCCCAAGGAGGCCAGAAAAGGGCAUUGGGUCUUUUAAAGUGAAUCACACAAUGUAGGUACAAAGAAGAAAACCCAGGUCCAGCAAGUGGCUCAGGUGUUAAUAAGAUGUUCUGCUUUUGCAGAGACCUGAGUUCAGUUCCCAGCACCCACACCAGGCAUCUAAACUCACAUACAUACAAUCAUAUAUAUAUUAGACACAUAAUUAAAAACAGAAAAACAUAGUAUCUCUGUUCUGAACCAGUUUGUUAAAAAAAAAAAAAAAAA